UCUUGAUGCAGGCAUGAAUACGGUUAAACGUGAAUGCAUAUAAAAAAAACCCGACUGCAGUUAACAGGCAGAUUAAAAGCCGACGGGUGUGUGUGUGUUUUUUUAUACCUUUGCUCCAAUCUGGUUCCCGCACUGCCCGGCCUGCAGGUGCACGAUCUCACGCAUGUUGUAGCUGCGGUUUGUGUGUGGGGGUCUCACAGAGAGCUGGAGAGAAACAGGGGAAGCUGACGACGGGCUCCGGUUCUGCGGCUGUUCGGUCCUGGCACUCCCGGUUCAGUCGACAGUCUGGCUGAAUGGCGGAGGAGCUGUGGCUGCGUUGUAAGCUCUGUCUCGCCCUUCCCAUCGUCCGCGGCUGCGCCGUUACUCCCGGUGCUGCAGCAUGACGUCAUCACCAUGGCAACGGGAACCGGGCACUGCCGGAAAAUUUGGCCUGCCUAGGCCGGUUUGUUGGGAUUGACAUGCAUGUGAGACAACCCUGAAUAACCGAGAUUAACUUUCUUCUUAAAACUCACGUCUCCCAGCCCCGGGCUUAGCCGUCUGUAAUGAAUAGCCUACCGAUGGAACUUGAUGUGAUGGCUACAUGCAGGGAGACAGGAAGUCAGAAAACAGAGACUGGAAGGGAGUGGGGAAGGAAGCAGAUGUUGCUAGUCACCAAAUGAGAUGGCAUUCCCAGUCCUCUUCUUGCAGGCGUCAAUGUUUUUACAAAGAAAACAUCAAAAGGUGAAUCAGGAGGUAAAAUCUGAUUUCUGAUCAGGUAGUGUAUGGUGUCACUGUUACAUCCAUGGCUGUUGUGGUGGCAGCCCGGCUGACGGUGAGUGUCCUGGUUUUUCCUCCUUUUUAUCAGUUUUCUGCUUUUUCCCUUGGUUUCCUGUUCUCUGCCCGCCUCUCUGUGUUUU